AUGGCCUCGCCGUCCUCCAUGCCUGCCCGUAUUCCCAUCUUCCUCCUAGUACUGCUUUCUGCCAUCUCGUUUUCUUCUCCCAGUCCGACCAACGGCAGCGACACCGACCUCGCCGCCCUGCUGGCUUUCAAAGCGCAGCUCGCCGACCGUCUCGGCGUCCUUGCCGCCAACUGGACCACCGGCACGUCUUUCUGCCACUGGGCUGGUGUCUCGUGCAGCCGGCGCAGACAACGUGUCACCGCUUUAUCAUUGUCUGACAUGCCUCUCCUUGUUUUCUUUCCGUCUUUAACCUCAGGAACACCAAUCUCACAGGGACUAUCCCGUCCGAACUUGGUAGGCUACAUCGUCUCAGGUUCCUUGGUCUUCAUGAAAAUAGCCUGUCAAAUGCCAUACCUGCUGCCCUAG
rnacentral:rRNA from 1 species